rnacentral:rRNA from 1 species
UAGGGAAUAUUGGACAAUGGGCGAAAGCCUGAUCCAGCAAUGCCGCGUGAGUGAUGAAGGUCUUCGGAUUGUAAANCUCUGUCAACAGGGAUGAUAAUGACGGUACCUGUAGAAUAAGCCCCGGCUAACUACGUG